rfam:Triticum aestivum genome assembly, contig: Triticum_aestivum_CS42_TGACv1_scaffold_050073_1BS
AUACUACUCCCCCCGUCCGGAAAAACUUGUCAUCAAAAUGGAUGAAAUGAGAUGUAUCUAGACGUAUUUUACUUUUACAUAUAUCUUUUUUAUCCAUUUUGAUGACAAAUAUUGUCGGACGGAGAGAGUAAUAA